ensembl:snoRNA
CUGCACGUUUCAUUGACCUGUGUUCUUUUUACCAUGUGAGCAGUAUAAUUUCUUAUUACGUGCUGCACAAAUAGUUGAAGGUUAACUAGCAGAGUGAGUCUAUAUAGUAAUGCUGCCAACCUCAUUCAGAGAAAA